GCAAACUUGGUCAUUUAGAGGAAGUAAAAGUCGUAACAAGGUUUCCGUAGGUGAACCUGCGGAAGGAUCAUUAACAAUUAUCCAACAUAAUGGAUAAUUUUAUCCAUACCCACCUUGUGUGCAUUACUGAAGUGUUUGUUGGCAGGUUAAAGGCUCUCUCGAAAGGAGAACUGUGGGCUUUGGUGCUCGGCCUGCCAAUUUUAUUUGCUUAAACAUGUCUAAAUACUAUUCGUCUGAAAUAUGUAAUUUAUAUAAUAAAUACAACUUUCAACAACGGAUCUCUUGGCUCUCGCAUCGAUGAAGAACGCAGC
rnacentral:misc_RNA from 1 species